rnacentral:rRNA from 1 species
CCUACGGGGGGCAGCAGUGAGGAAUAUUGGUCAAUGGGCGUAAGCCUGAACCAGCCAAGUCGCGUUAGGGAUGAAGGUUCUAUGGAUCGUAAACCUCUUUUAUAAGGGAAUAAAGUGUGGGACGUGUCCUAUUUUGUAUGUACCUUAUGAAUAAGGAUCGGCUAACUCCGUACCAGCAGCCGCGGUAAUACGGAGGAUCCGAGCGUUAUCCGGAUUUAUUGGGUUUAAAGGGUGCGUAGGCGGCCUUUUAAGUCAGCGGUGAAAGUCUGUGGCUCAACCAUAGAAUUGCCGUUGAAACUGGGGGUCUUUAGUAUGGUUGGGGCAGGCGGAAUGCGUGGUGUAGCGGUGAAAUGCUUAGAUAUCACGCAGAACCCUGAUUGCGAAGGCAGCCUGCCAAGCCAUGACUGACGCUGAUGCACGAAAGCGUGGGGAUCAAACAGGAUUAGAUACCCCAGUAGUC